ensembl:lncRNA
CAGAGGUACGCAUCAUGUCACCAUGGCAACUUGUGUAAACCACAUAGGCACCAGAAGGACUGUGUGUUCACCUGUCUUCCUGCAGGAGGCGCUCUCAGCUCUGCAGCUGUCAGAGGACGAGGUGAAGGAUGUGGUCAGCGCUCAGCUCAUCCCUCUGAUUGGACGUCGGCAGAGUGCAGAUGAAGAGCGGUUGGCUGCUUUAGACGCCUGCAGCGACUCUGUGACCUGCCACUCUCUCAGUCUCAGUACAAGCGUGUUUGUUGUGAUGCGAGCGGCAGCGGCGCUCUGGGAGACACACCGCCACAGGUUGGAGAGGAGAGAACGUGAGCUUCAGCAGCAGCUGUGCGACAUCAGCCGCUCGCAUCAGCAGGACGUACAGGUGAGUGACCUCAGGGACGCACCUUCACCUGAGAGGGGGCGGGGCUUUGCUGCAUCUGUCCCAUGGUGCUUUGCUGCUGUGCCGUCAGAGUAAAAAAGUGCACUUGGACAUACUGCUGGGAUGUCUUCGCCAGGCGAGCAGCGAAAAGGACUUGGAGACAUGUCUGGACAGGACUGUCCACUAUGCACAGGACAUCCAGCAAAGGUACUGCAGCGCUAAUGCUAAUGCUAACACAGCUGUAAACCAGUGCUGACAGCAGAACAAACCUGUGUGUGUGUGUGUGUGUAGCUGCAGACAGUUUGUCUCCAAACAGUGGGAGCUGUUGGACCGUCUCCCGUCUCUCUGUGUGGACGAACUCCUCUCUUACAGCAGAAGCCUCAGCUCCUUCUACCACCUGAGCCACUCCUACCAACCAACAGCAGAAGUCCUGCAGAGUCUCCAUCCAUCCCCCACUUCCAUUGGACUGGACCCAGGUCGGUCUGUCUGUCUCCUUCAGGUCCUACAGACCUUACAUGUGGGUCCAGACUGAACCAGCUUCUCUGUUUAGGUGAGGAGGCCGGUGGGGAACUGCCUGAGGAGUCGACCGACAAUCGUCCAAUCAGCUGUCAGAAUAAUGGAUCCCCCCCCCAGGACUGUCAGCGCUGGCUGACUGAGGUGAUCCUGAACAGGCUGAGAUCCACCAGCCCUCCCGCAGACCUGUGGACUGACACUGUGUGUUUCCAGGCGGAGUCCUCCCUGCUGGAGAUCUGUGACAUCAGCAGCUCUGUCACCAUUACAUCAUCGGGCGGCACGGUGUACACGGGCCCGGCCUUCAGAUGCCCCGCCCCUGACCUGCAGGAAACACACCUGAGCCUGUUUCCUGUGGAGCUCCUCACACACACACUGUGCAGGUACACAGACGCACACAGACACACACACAGCAGGCUGCAGUCAGUCCCACACAGGACCCUAAACUGUGUGUGUGUGGUGCUCAGAACCCGGGCUCUGUUUCUGGACCACCUGGAGCGGCAUUACCAUGACGUCCUUAACUCAGCUGGUGCAGCGGUGACAGACAGGAAGGAGGCGGCGAGCUCCGAGCUGAACCUCCAGCUGCAGCAUCUGAAGCCCGAACACAUCAAGACCCACAUACACCAGCCGCGCCAUGGUAACACACAGACACACACACACAGAUACACAGACAGACACACACACAGACGGACACAGAGACACACACAGACACACACAGACACGCACACAGACACACAACACACACACAGACACACAAACACACAUACACAGACACACACAGACACACACACACACAGACACACACACACACACACAGACAGACACACACACACACACAGACAGACAGACACACAGACGGACACAGAGACACACACAGACACACAAACACACAGACACGCACACAGACACACAAACACACACACACAAACACACACACACACAGACAGACACACACACCGACAGACACACACACACACAGACACACACACACACAGGGGCCCUCCAGAUUG